CCUCGGAUCAGGUAGGGAUACCCGCUGAACUUAAGCAUAUCAAUAAGCGGAGGAAAAGAAACCAACAGGGAUUGCCUCAGUAACGGCGAGUGAAGCGGCAAAAGCUCAAAUUUGAAAUCUGGCCCUUUCAGGGUCCGAGUUGUAAUUUGCAGAGGAUGCUUCGGGAGCGGCGGUGGUCUAAGUCCCCUGGAACGGGGCGUCGCAGAGGGUGAGAAUCCCGUCUUGGACCGCAUGCCCGUGACCGUGUGAAGCUCCUUCGACGAGUCGAGUUGUUUGGGAAUGCAGCUCAAAAUGGGUGGUAAAUUUCAUCUAAAGCUAAAUACUGGCUGGAGACCGAUAGCGCACAAGUAGAGUGAUCGAAAGGUUAAAAGCACCUUGAAAAGGGAGUUAAAUAGCACGUGAAAUUGUUGAAAGGGAAGCGCUUGCAACCAGACUCGGCCGCAGAGGCUCAGCGGGCACGUGUGCCCGUGCACUCCUCUGUGGCCGGGCCAGCAUCAGUUCUGACGGCCGGUCAAAGGCCCCUGGAAUGUAUCCUCCUCCGGGAGGUCUUAUAGCCAGGGGUGCAAUGCGGCCAGUUGGGACUGAGGAACGCGCUUCGGCACGGAUGCUGGCGUAAUGGUUGUAAGCGACCCGUCUUGAAACACGGACCAAGGAGUCUAACAUCCACGCGAGUGUUAGGGUGUCAAACCCUUGCGCGCAGUGAAAGCGAACGGAGGUGAGAUCCCCGCAAGGGGCGCAUCAUCGACCGAUCCUGAAGUCUUCGGAUGGAUUUGAGUAAGAGCGUGGCUGUUGGGACCCGAAAGAUGGUGAACUAUGCCUGAAUAGGGUGAAGCCAGAGGAAACUCUGGUGGAGGCUCGCAGCGGUUCUGACGUGCAAAUCGAUCGUCAAAUUUGGGUAUAGGGGCGAAAGACUAAUCGAACCAUCUA
rnacentral:rRNA from 1 species